UACGAAGGGGGCUAGCGUUGCUCGGAAUUACUGGGCGUAAAGGGCGCGUAGGCGGAUAUUUAAGUUAGAGGUGAAAGCCCAGGGCUCAACCCUGGAAUAGCCUUUAAGACUGCAUCGCUAGAAUUGUGGAGAGGUAAGUGGAAUUCCGAGUGUAGAGGUGAAAUUCGUAGAUAUUCGGAAGAACACCAGUGGCGAAGGCGACUUACUGGACACAUAUUGACGCUGAGGUGCGAAAGCGUGGGGAGCAAACAGG
rnacentral:rRNA from 1 species